rnacentral:rRNA from 1 species
GACGAACGCUGGCGGCGUGCCUAAUACAUGCAAGUCGAGCGGGGAUUAUGCUUGAUCGCUUCGGUGAGACGGCAUAUAUCCUAGCGGCGGACGGGUGAGUAACGCGUGGGUAAUCUACCUCGUAGUUCGGGAUAACAGGCCGAAAGGCUUGCUAAUACCGGAUGAGUUCAUGCUUAUGCAUAUAGGCAUGAAGAAAGGGCUAGCCCGCUAUGAGAUGAGCCCGCGUCCCAUUAGCUUGUUGGUGGGGUAACGGCCUACCAAGGCAACGAUGGGUAGCCGGCCUGAGAGGGUGUACGGCCACACUGGGACUGAGACACGGCCCAGACUCCUACGGGGGGCAGCAGUAGGGAAUUUUCGGCAAUGGGCGAAAGCCUGACCGAGCGACGCCGCGUGAGGGACGAAGGCCUUCGGGUUGUAAACCGUCUGUCUGGGGGAGUGAGAACGGACGGUACCCCGGAGGAAGCCCCGGCUAACUACGUGCCAGCAGCCGCGGUAAAGUCACGUCG